CAGAAGACGCCUAUUCAAACGCACCGGAUACUCAGAUAUAGGCAGGGAAUUCCAUUUCCGGGUUAUGCGCAUUAAACAUGAUAAUAAAAAGCGCUUAGUACGCCGGAAAGAAAUGUCGACCAAAUAAAGAUGAUAUAUCUCGAAGUUAAGAGACAUAACCAGGUUACGCGAUUUAUCUGAUGUUUGUGAACCAAUUUUGAUGAUCUUCUUUUCUCGGAGAGGAGUUCCCUCAGUAAUGAACCCAUUCAAAUUUGAAGAAAAUAUUCCACCUCUAAGCGUGGCAAAUUAGGCGAUGAAUCCGGUUUAUUGGAUAUC